rnacentral:rRNA from 1 species
CACUAUGCCUAGCCCUAAACAUUGAUAGUCGUUCACCCAACUAUCCGCCCGGGUACUACGAGCAGCAGCUUAAAACCCAAAGGACUUGGCGGUGCUUUAGAUCCACCUAGAGGAGCCUGUUCUAGAACCGAUAAUCCCCGUUUAACCUCACCCCUCCUUGUCAUUCCCGCCUAUAUACCGCCGUCGUCAGCCCACCUCAGUGAGAGUCUAGUCGUGAGCGAAACUGGUACUACCCUAAACGCCAGGUCGAGGUGUAGCGUAUGGAGGGGGAAGAAAUGGGCUACAUUCAAUAUCCUACAAUGAAUACGGAUGGUAAAUUGAAAAAUUUUCCUGAAGGAGGAUUUAGCAGUAAGCAAGAAGCAGAGUGUCUUGCUGAAUCUGGCCCUGAAGCGCGCACACACCGCCCGUCACUCUCCCCAAGAACACUAAACUCAUAACUAAUAAGCCAAAAAAGAGAAGGGGAGGUAAGUCGUAA